UACGUAGGGGGCAAGCGUUGUCCGGAUUCAUUGGGCGUAAAGAGCGUGUAGGCGGCCAGGUAGGUCGGUUGUGAAAACUGGAGGCUCAACCUUCAGAGGUCGACCGAAACCAUCUGGCUAGAGUCCGGGAGAGGAGAGUGGAAUUCCUGGUGUAGCGGUGAAAUGCGCAGAUAUCAGGAAGAACACCCGUGGCGAAAGCGGCUCUCUGGAACGGUACUGACGCUGAGACGCGAAAGCGCGGGGAGCGAACGGG
rnacentral:rRNA from 1 species